UCCAGACUCCUACGGGAGGCAGCAGUGGGGAAUAUUGCACAAUGGGGGAAACCCUGAUGCAGCGACGCCGCGUGAGUGAAGAAGUAUUUCGGUAUGUAAAGCUCUAUCAGCAGGGAAGAAAAAAGACGGUACCUGACUAAGAAGCCCCGGCUAACUACGUGCCAGCAGCCGCGGUAAUACGUGGGGGGCAAGCGUUAUCCGGAUUUACUGGGUGUAAAGGGAGCGUAGACGGCAAUACAAGUCGGAAGUGAAAUACCCGGGCUCAACCUGGGAACUGCUUUGGAAACUGUAUGGCUGGAGUGCUGGAGAGGUAAGCGGAAUUCCUAGUGUAGCGGUGAAAUGCGUAGAUAUUAGGAGGAACACCAGUGGCGAAGGCGGCUUACUGGACAGUAACUGACGUUGAGGCUCGAAAGCGUGGGGAGCAAACAGGAUUAGAUACCCCAGUA
rnacentral:rRNA from 1 species